GAUGAAGAACGUAGCGAAAUGCGAUACGUAAUGUGAAUUGCAAAUUCAGUGAAUCAUCGAGUCUUUGAACGCACAUUGCGCCCCCUGGUAUUCCGGGGGGCAUGCCUGUCCGAGCGUCAUUGCUGCCCUCAAGCACGGCUUGUGUGUUGGGCCCCGUCCUCCGAUCCCGGGGGACGGGCCCGAAAGGCAGCGGCGGCACCGCGUCCGGUCCUCGAGCGUAUGGGGCUUUGUCACCCGCUCUGUAGGCCCGGCCGGCGCUUGCCGAUCAACCCAAAUUUUUAUCCAGGUUGACCUCGGAUCAGGUAGGACUACCCGCUGAACUUAAGCAUAUCAAUAAGCGGAGGA
rnacentral:misc_RNA from 1 species